UACGUAGGGGGGCGAGCGUUGUCCGGAGUUACUGGGCGUAAAGGGCAUGACGAGGCGGUCAGACGCGUUUUGUGUGUACAGCGGAGGGCGUUCGACUUCUCCGAGCAUACGAAAAGACGGUGUGACUUGAGGGCUCGAGAGGGACACGGAAUUCCGGGUGGAGUGGUGAAAUGCGUAGAGAUCCGGAGGAACACCGAAGGCGAAGGCAGUGUCCUGGCGAGUAUCCUGACGCUGAGGUGCGAAAGCCAGGGGAGCGAACGGG
rnacentral:rRNA from 1 species